GUGCUCGCUUCGGCAGCACAUAUACUAAAAUUAGAAUGAUACAGAGAAGAUUAGCAUGACCUCUGUGCAAGGAUGACAUGAUGACAUGCAAAUGUGUGAAGCAUUCAU